UCGACACCGGUGUCUGUCUCCUUUUGGGCCCCAACUUUCUUCAUUUCCUCAGCAACAUCUGGCGCCCAACGUGGGGCUCGACCAGACUGAAAGGUGGCAAGACCAAGCUAAAUUCGCUUUUACUGUACCUACUUACAAUCAUUGUCAGCCUGUCAAGCGAUAUCAAUGGACUGUUCUUCCUCAAGGAUCCUUGACCCUGGAACAUCAAGUGACCUCGCAACCAGAAAAACCCGUCAUGAUCUGGGUCCCAUCAGACUCACUCCUAUAAGGCAGGCCAGGCAGCAAACCAUCCUAAGAUGGAAAUGGUACAUGAGGACUCAGCAUGAACAGAAUAAAGAUAAAACUCCCAACAGGUGAAACAAUGGGCUGCAUCAGCACAUCCGAGGCUAACUCACCAAUGUUGUCAUAGGCUUGCAAAUGGGAGGGAAGCUAGGACUGUCUUGCCCAGCAUUUGACCACUGGGCUCUCUCCACUGACUCUUACUGAACCAGCACUUGUGGCCACACUUAGACUUUUGUCUUCCAACACUCUGCUGAAGUCAAGGAGGAUCUCCUGUGAGUCAAUAUUAAGCCUACCUUCAGUCUAUCAUCAGAACAAGUAUGUGUGAACAUGCGGGACUGAGGAAAAGGAGAGGCCUUUUCCCAGGAAUGGACUGAGGGAGACUCUCAGUCCCAGCUCUCCCCAGGAAUGGUUUUGCAGGACCCUUAAGGGAGCCCUUCUCCCAAGGACCAGUACCAGUCCUUGAGGGACAGACUGGAUGAGGAAUCUUGGAUGCCUGAUUAUCCCAGGUCACAGUUGUGGGUGCCUGACCCUUGCAGGUACCAUGCCUCAGCAGGAAGUUUUGAGGUGGUGAUGGAAGGAGGCAAGAACAGCUGUUCAGGAUUUUUGUUUUGUUUUUGUCUUUGCACUAAUCUUCUUCCAAGAGGACUGGCUGGGAAUGAUGGGUUUUGUAUCAAAGUAAUUACAUCUCUUGUGACUGAUUGUAUUUUAAAUUAUAUUGUGGGAAUAAAUAUCAUGUCUCACUUGGAAAUGUUUCCCUUGCCUGAUAUUGUGAGAGCAUAUAAGUCCACCAUUCAGGCAAUGUUAAUUAAGCAUGGUAAAGGACACGGUAAAUUGGCUGAAAUUACUUCAAAAACAGCUAUGAAAAGGAUCCUUACUGCAAAAAGAAAAGAAUCUUUGGCAUGGGAAAAAAUAUCUUUAAGCUCCUGAGCAGGUAACAAUUUGGAUCCAGCAUUCUUUGGACUUUUGUGACUGUCAUGACUAAAAUUCGAAAGAUCUCCGUUUGUGUUUUUCUAUACAUCUGUGUGUGUGUGUCCAUAUGUAUGUUAUAAAUGUGAGAUAUUUUUCUACUUCCAUAUGGUAUGGGCAAAAUUAAGAGCACUUUCUAAUUGGCUUAAAAUAAGUGCUUACAUAAAAUAUUUCUAAAUGUAAUAGAAAUUAACCCAAAUGUCUUUCAGGUUAACAUGAUAUGAAAUAAUAUUUGGUAAAUAAAAGCUUAUUUGAGUUUGUUGUUUUGAUUGAAAUAGGCAUGUCCUCAAAGUCAUCAGCUGGAUAUAAUGCAGACAUGCAGUCUGGAUUUACUAGUCAAAUAAGCUAAUGUUAUCUCUAUUACAAAUUUGUCAACAGAAGAAUAGGUUAGGAUGAUAGCUGAUUUUAUCUAAUGUCUCAUGAAGUUUUUGAACCGAAUUAUUGGAAAGAAGUAAACUAAAUAGAUGUCAGUAAGAUAAAAUUUUUUAGGAGAACUUUUGAACAAUAAUUAUAUGUUAUGGUAUAUGUACUAAGAAUAACUUCAAAACAUUUUG